UGCCGGUGGACAAACCGGAGGAAGGUGGGGAUGACGUCAAGUCAUCAUGGCCCUUACGGCCUGGGCUACACACGUGCUACAAUGGUCGGUACAAAGGGUUGCCAAGCCGCGAGGUGGAGCUAAUCCCAUAAAACCGAUCGUAGUCCGGAUCGCAGUCUGCAACUCGACUGCGUGAAGUCGGAAUCGCUAGUAAUCGUGAAUCAGAAUGUCGACGGUGAAUACCGGUUCCCCGGGUCCUU
rnacentral:rRNA from 1 species